GACGGAAGGUGCAAGCGUUGCUCGGAAUUACUGGGCGUAAAGGGCGCGUAGGCGGCCGCGCAAGUCUGGCGUGAAAGCCCCGGGCUCAGCCCGGGAAGGGCGCUCGAAACGGCGCGGCUCGAGUGCCGGAGGGGAGAGUGGAAUUCCUGGUGUAGCGGUGAAAUGCGUAGAUAUCAGGAGGAAUACCGGUGGCGAAAGCGACUCUCUGGACGGCAACUGACGCUGAGGCACGAAAGCGUGGGGAGCAAACAGG
rnacentral:rRNA from 1 species